UACGAAGGGUGCAAGCGUUAAUCGGAAUUACUGGGCGUAAAGGGUGCGUAGGCGGUUCGUUAAGUCUGUCGUGAAAUCCCCGGGCUCAACCUGGGAAUGGCGAUGGAUACUGGCGAGCUAGAGUGUGUCAGAGGAUGGUGGAAUUCCCGGUGUAGCGGUGAAAUGCGUAGAGAUCGGGAGGAACAUCAGUGGCGAAGGCGGCCAUCUGGGACACACUGACGCUGAAGCACGAAAGCGUGGGGAG
rnacentral:rRNA from 1 species